UCGGGAGCGGAGCCGGACCCUCAGCCCGCCCCGCCUCCCCACGCGCCCGGAUGAGGAGCGACGCUGCUCGGUCUGGCCGCCCCUCGCGUGCACCGCGCGGGAGACAAAGCCCGCGCGCCCCGCUCCGGGUGAGCCUCAAAGCAGGAGCCCCGAGUCAGCCUCUCAUCUGACAGCUGCCACCUGCCACCCCUGGACUGCCCCCUGCCCGGACCUGUGACCACGCUGCCUCUCUCAGGGGCAACGGAAUGAAAGAAGGCAUGUCCAGUAACAGCACCACGAGCAUCUCCCAGGCCAGGAAGGCUGUGGAGCAGCUGAAGAUGGAGGCCUGCAUGGACAGGGUGAAGGUAAGCACACAGGCAAGCCAGCCUGGCCCCCUGACCAGCACGCAGCUCAGAUCAUUCCUCCCCUUUGCCCCGUGGUCUUGUGAGAGUCACCCUCUAGAGCACCCGGCCAACCCUGGCAGCUGUAACAUUUGCAGACGUCUGUUUGCUCCGGAGUUCUGAGUGUGCCCAAGGAUUCGGGUGAUGCAAAAUACACAGUGUGCAUGGAUUCCAUCAGGAGUCGCCAAAAAUAGACUCAUAUUCAUCUCAGGUCUGUUUGGCACCGUUGUCAGGCUGAGGAGCGAGAGAGUUUAACCCUGAGAUCCAGCAUUGUUUUCCUGCCUAAUUCAGUGACUUUGAGGUUGGACCGGUGUCAGAUGUUUUGAUGGGGGCUGUCGGAGUGAAGUACUGAACCCUGCACUGUGCGUGUUGAAUGCACCUUUAGGGAAAGGGAGGAAGGGUGGCAGCCGUGUUCAUUUCGUUGGUGAACAUACAUCUCUUCAUGUUGGGAGAGCUGACACGAGAUGAAGCCACCUCUCCU